GAGCCAGCUGGUCUCUCCAGCCCUCACCACGACCCUGCGACCCUGCGGCUGACAGGGGUGUCACCCUCCUUCACACCUGAGGACGUUGAGCUCAGGGCAGGGGAAGUUGACCCAAAGAAGUGCUUGGCCUAAAACAAGUGCCUGGCACCCAGUAGGACCUCAAGAGCCUCCGUAAAACUUCCGCUGAUAAACGCAUGGAUCAGUCAACGAAAUAAAAGCAGGCACAAUUGUCUCAAAGAUCAGCAAAAUGUUCUAAUGUCACACGAGGGUGUCCCUGGGUUACUCAUCUGUAAACUUGUGGUUGGAAA